ACAGUUCAACAAUAUAGCUGCUGUCACAGUAUUUUUUGUCUGGAUUAAGCUCUUCAAAUUCAUCAAUUUUAACAGGACCAUGAGCCAGCUCUCGACAACCAUGUCUCGAUGUGCCAAAGACCUGUUUGGCUUUGCUAUUAUGUUCUUCAUUAUUUUCCUAGCAUAUGCUCAGUUGGCAUACCUUGUCUUUGGCACUCAGGUCGAUGACUUCAGUACUUUCCAAGAGUGUAUAAUAUGUUUUUGGCCAUCAUCAAUGAUACUUACUCUGAAGUGAAAUCUGACUUGGCACAGCAGAAAGCUGAAAUGGAACUCUCAGAUCUUAUCAGAAAGGGCUACCAUAAAGCUUUGGUCAAACUAAAACUGAAAAAAAAUACCGUGGAUGACAUUUCAGAGAGUCUGCGGCAAGGAGGAGGCAAGUUAAACUUUGACGAACUUCGACAAGAUCUCAAAGGGUGAGAAUCAUGCUUCCCGAGGUUCUGAAAAAUUCCUACUUCUAAAGAUAAAUUCCUGGUGAUAAGAAUAUUUCUAGCCCAAGGGCUCAUACAGAUACUUUUUUUUUUUUUUUCCAGAGGCAGGUAUCUUUCUGGAACAUGUUAAAAGAGGAAAACUUGCCCCCAUUUGGUGAUUUCUCCUUUCCUCCUGCAUUUUGAUGUCUCUGUGUUUAGGGUGAACUGGGUACAGGGAAUGAGUUUUAUCUGUAUCCUCUCUCUAAUUUCAGGAAGGGCCAUACUGAUGCAGAGAUUGAGGCAAUAUUCACAAAGUACGACCAAGAUGGAGACCAAGAGCUGACCGAACAUGAACAUCAACAGAUGAGAGACGACUUGGAGAAAGAGAGGGAGGACCUGGAUUUGGAUCACAGUUCUUUACCACGUCCCAUGAGCAGCCGAAGUUUCCCUCGAAGCCUGGAUGACUCUGAGGAGGAUGAUGAUGAAGAUAGCGGACAUAGCUCCAGAAGGAGGGGAAGCAUUUCCAGUGGCGUUUCUUACGAAGAGUUUCAAGUCCUGGUGAGACGAGUGGACCGGAUGGAGCAUUCCAUCGGCAGCAUAGUGUCCAAGAUCGACGCCGUAAUUGUGAAGCUAGAGAUUAUGGAGCGAGCCAAACUGAAGAGGAGGGAGGUGCUGGGAAGGCUGUUGGAUGGGGUGGCCGAGGAUGAAAGGCUGGGUCGUGACAGUGAAAUCCAUAGGGAACAGAUGGAACGGCUAGUGCGUGAAGAGUUGGAACGCUGGGAAUCCGAUGAUGCAGCUUCCCAGAUCAGUCAUGGUUUAGGCACGCCCGUGGGACUAAAUGGUCAGCCUCGCCCCAGAAGCUCCCGCCCAUCUUCCUCCCAGUCUACAGAAGGCAUGGAAGGUGCAGGUGGAAAUGGGAGUUCUAAUGUCCACGUAUGAUAUGUGUGUUUUAGUAUGUGUGUUUCUAAUAAGUGAGGAAGCAGCUGUCCUGAAUUGCUGUAACGAGCACACUAUUUAUAUGCCCUGACCACCAUAGAAUGCUAGUCUUUGUGACCGAUUGCUAAUCUUCUGCACUUUAAUUUAUUUUAUAUAAACUUUACCCAUGGUU
rnacentral:sRNA from 1 species